rnacentral:rRNA from 5 species
CCUGGCGGCAGUAGCGCGGUGGUCCCACCUGACCCCAUGCCGAACUCAGAAGUGAAACGCCGUAGCGCCGAUGGUAGUGUGGGGUCUC